UACGUAGGGUGCAAGCGUUAAUCGGAAUUACUGGGCGUAAAGCGUGCGCAGGCGGUUGGGCAAGACAGAUGUGAAAGCCCCGGGCUCAACCUGGGAAUUGCGAUGGAGACUGCAAGGCUUGAAUCUGGCAGAGGGGGGUAGAAUUCCACGUGUAGCAGUGAAAUGCGUAGAGAUGUGGAGGAACACCGAUGGCGAAGGCAGCCCCCUGGGUCAAGAUUGACGCUCAUGCACGAAAGCGUGGGGAGCAAACAGG
rnacentral:rRNA from 1 species